GAUGGACAGACCGAGAGAGUCAACCAGAUUUUGGAGGACAUGUUGAGAGCAUGUGCACUAGAUUAUGGAUCCAGUUGGGACGACAAUUUGCCAUAUGCGGAGUUUUCUUAUAACAACAGUUAUCAGACCAGUUUGAAGAUGGCCCCUUUCGAAGCCUUGUACGGAAGGAGGUGUAGAACACCGUUGUUAUGGGACGAAGUUGGAGACCAUCAGUUGUUUGGACCAGAUUUGAUUAAGGAGUCUGAACAGAAAGUAAGGUUGAUCCGUGAUAGGCUCAAGGUAGCCCAAUCCAGACAGAAGAGUUAUGCUGAUUCUAAAUGA
rnacentral:rRNA from 1 species